GUUGAACGCUGGCGGCAUGCCUUACACAUGCAAGUCGAACGGUAACAGGUUAAGCUGACGAGUGGCGAACGGGUGAGUAAUGUAUCGGAACGUGCCCAGUCGUGGGGGAUAACUGCUCGAAAGAGCAGCUAAUACCGCAUACGACCAGAGGGUGAAAGCGGGGGAUCGCAAGACCUCGCGCGAUUGGAGCGGCCGAUAUCAGAUUAGGUAGUUGGUGAGGUAAAGGCUCACCAAGCCGACGAUCUGUAGCUGGUCUGAGGGGACGACCAGCCACACUGGGACUGAGACACGGCCCAGACUCCUACGGGAGGCAGCAGUGGGGAAUUUUGGACAAUGGGCGCAAGCCUGAUCCAGCCAUGCCGCGUGCGGGAAGAAGGCCUUCGGGUUGUAAACCGCUUUUGUCAGGGAAGAAAAGGUUCUGGCUAAUACCUGGGACUCAUGACGGUACCUGAAGAAUAAGCACCGGCUAACUACGUGCCAGCCGCCGCCGUAAGAC
rnacentral:rRNA from 1 species